GUGAAUCAUCGAAUUUUUGAACGCAAAUUGCACUCUCUUCGGAGAGUAUGCCUGUUUGAGGGUCAGCCUAAAAAAAAACCACGUAGUUGCCGGUUCCCGGUUACAUUCGUCGGGAAUUGGGUUCUCUUUAACCUUUGGGGUUUUUAAGCGGCUUAAAUUUUUUUUUACGUUUCCACGAACGUUUCUAAGUCUUUACUUCUUACACACGUUUAAG
rnacentral:misc_RNA from 1 species